rnacentral:rRNA from 1 species
GACGAACGCUGGCGGCGUGCUUAACACAUGCAAGUCGAACGGAAAGGCCCUGCUUUUGUGGGGUGCUCGAGUGGCGAACGGGUGAGUAACACGUGAGUAACCUGCCCUUGACUUUGGGAUAACUUCAGGAAACUUGGGCUAAUACCGGAUAGGAGCUCCUGCUGCAUGGUGGGGGUUGGAAAGUUUCGGCGGUUGGGGAUGGACUCGCGGCUUAUCAGAUUGUUGGUGGGGUAGUGGCUUACCAAGGCUUUGACGGGUAGCCGGCCUGAGAGGGUGACCGGCCAAAUUGGGACUGAGAUACGACCCAGACUCCUACGGGAGGCAGCAGUGGGGAAUAUUGCAUAAUGGGCGGAAGCAUGAUGCAGCAAAGCCGCGUGCGGUAUGACGGCCUUCGGGUUGUAAACCGCUUUCGCCUGUGACGAAGCGUGAGUGACGGUAAUGGGUAAAGAAGCACCGGCUAACUACGUG